AAUGGAGGAAACUCUGAUGCAGCGAUGCCGCGUGAGUGAAGAAGGCCCUUGGGUUGUAAAGCUCUUUCGUCGGGGAAGAAAAUGACUGUACCCGAAUAAGAAGGUCCGGCUAACUUCGUGCCAGCAGCCGCGGUAAUACGAAGGGACCUAGCGUAGUUCGGAAUUACUGGGCUUAAAGAGUUCGUAGGUGGUUAAAAAAGUUGGUUGUGAAAUCCCGAAGCUUAACUUCGGAACUGCAAUCAAAACUUUUUAGCUAGAGUAUGAUAGAGGAAAGCAGAAUUUCUAGUGUAGAGGUGAAAUUCGUAGAUAUUAGAAAGAAUACCAAUUGCGAAGGCAGCUUUCUGGAUCAUUACUGACGCUGAGGAACGAAAGCAUGGGUAGCGAAGAGGAUU
rnacentral:rRNA from 1 species